GUCUAUCAUGCAGUCGAGCGACAGACGAGGAGCUUGCUCCUCUGACGUUAGCGGCGGACGGGUGAGUAACACGUGGAUAACCUACCUAUAAGACUGGGAUAACUUCGGGAAACCGGAGCUAAUACCGGAUAAUAUAUUGAACCGCAUGGUUCAAUAGUGAAAGACGGUUUUGCUGUCACUUAUAGAUGGAUCCGCGCCGCAUUAGCUAGUUGGUAAGGUAACGGCUUACCAAGGCAACGAUGCGUAGCCGACCUGAGAGGGUGAUCGGCCACACUGGAACUGAGACACGGUCCAGACUCCUACGGGAGGCAGCAGUAGGGAAUCUUCCGCAAUGGGCGAAAGCCUGACGGAGCAACGCCGCGUGAGUGAUGAAGGUCUUCGGAUCGUAAAACUCUGUUAUUAGGGAAGAACAAAUGUGUAAGUAACUAUGCACGUCUUGACGGUACCUAAUCAGAAAGCCACGGCUAACUACGUGCCAGCAGCCGCGGUAAUACGUAGGUGGCAAGCGUUAUCCGGAAUUAUUGGGCGUAAAGCGCGCGUAGGCGGUUUUUUAAGUCUGAUGUGAAAGCCCACGGCUCAACCGUGGAGGGUCAUUGGAAACUGGAAAACUUGAGUGCAGAAGAGGAAAGUGGAAUUCCAUGUGUAGCGGUGAAAUGCGCAGAGAUAUGGAGGAACACCAGUGGCGAAAGGCGACUUUCUGGUCUGUAACUGACGCUGAUGUGCGAAAGCGUGGGGAUCAAACAGGAUUAGAUACCCUGGGUAGUCCCCGCCGUAAACGAUGAGUGCUAGUGUUAGGGGGGUUUCCGCCCCCUU
rnacentral:rRNA from 1 species